rnacentral:snRNA from 1 species
AGAAAAUAAUUGUAUCAU